GAUGAACGCUGGCGGCGUGCCUAAUACAUGCAAGUCGAGCGAACGAACGAGAAGCUUGCUUCUCUGAUGUUAGCGGCGGACGGGUGAGUAACACGUGGAUAACCCACCUAUAAGACUGGGAUAACUUCGGGAAACCGUAGCUAAUACCGGAUAAUAUUUUGAACCGCAUGGUUCAAAAGUGAAAGACGGUCUUGCUGUCACUUAUAGAUGGAUCCGCGCUGCAUUAGCUAGUUGGUAAGGUAACGGCUUACCAAGGCAACGAUGCAUAGCCGACCUGAGAGGGUGAUCGGCCACACUGGAACUGAGACACGGUCCAGACUCCUACGGGAGGCAGCAGUAGGGAAUCUUCCGCAAUGGGCGAAAGCCUGACGGAGCAACGCCGCGUGAGUGAUGAAGGUCUUCGGAUCGUAAAACUCUGUUAUUAGGGAAGAACAUAUGUGUAAGUAACUGUGCACAUCUUGACGGUACCUAAUCAGAAAGCCACGGCUAACUACGUG
rnacentral:rRNA from 1 species